UGGCUCGUUCGUUGUCUGGACUUUGGUUCAGGCACAUUCCUAGGUUGCAGAGGGUGGGGACUGGUGGAAAGAGUAGGAGUAGCCAGCCAUUGGAGAGGAAGUAAUGUUCAUUAAAACAGUUUUGAGCUCUCUUUCUCUCUGAGCAUGCUCAGGCAUCGCUCCUCUGGUCUUGAGAAGAAGAUUUUUUUUAUUUUUAUACUUAAUUAAUAUUUUUUUAAAAAAAAGCCCUUGGAACUUUUCAAGAUUAUAAAGUGGAUUUAUUUAGCCCUUCGAGGAAGCCAGGGGUGACUGAGAGCACCUGCGAGCAAGUUUACAGGGUGAAAAACAGCAGAGAAGCGAGAGACGAGACGAAAACGAGAGAAGAGAGAGCAGCGGGGACUGAGAAAAAAUGUUCUCUUUGGCAAAGACGGGAUACGAGAGAGAGAGGAGAGGAAAGGAGAGGCAGAGAGUGAAAGUUUUGCUAAAAGAAAAAGGAUUCUUAACAACUUGUGGGACUUCAGGAUUCUUAUAGCAAAGUCUAGAGGCCUUAAUGCAGACACAACAAUGGUGAGAAGAUGAGGAACCCUGUGGAGGAGCCUGGCUGGGCUGAUUCAGUUCCUGCUGAAUGCUAACCCAGGUGCCUUCAUUCCCCACGGCAAUUAGUCAUCAGCAGAUAAACCAGGCCAUAAAGGUCGCCUUGCAGCAGAGAGACUCGCGGUACAAGGACCAAAGCGAUUGCCCGCAGAACCUAUUGCAGUGGGACAGUGAGCACUUGUCACCUGCCUCCAGCGAUGCGCUCGCCUUCAGAGCCUGCGAGCAAGGCCAACUUUGGACAAUUGAAAAGCCUCUGAGAUAGUUCCUCAACGUUCCCGCUCACCAUCACCAGGAAUGGAACACACAGGUGGAGAGUAACAAACGUGCCGGCUGAGCUCCCAUCUCCCUGAGCCGGGAUCAGCCACGCUCCUUUUCCUGUAAAACAAAUAUUUCCAGGAAGCGAUGGGGUUUGCAGGAAGCAUUAGCGGAAGUCAGCAGCGAGAGGAGGGGCUGGGGAAGGGGGGAGAGGAAGGAGUGUAUUUACGCCCCCCCCCCCCCUCC